rnacentral:tRNA from 1 species
GCGCGCUUAGUCCAGCGGUCCAGGACCCUUCCCUUUCCGGGAGGUGACGCGGGUUCGAAUCCCGCAGCGCGCU